GAUCCUGGCUCAGGACGAACGCUGGCGGCGUGCCUAAUACAUGCAAGUAGAACGCUGAAGGAAGGAGCUUGCUCUUUCCGGAUGAGUUGCGAACGGGUGAGUAACGCGUAGGUAACCUGCCUGGUAGCGGGGGAUAACUAUUGGAAACGAUAGCUAAUACCGCAUAGUAGUAGAUAUCGCAUGAUAACUGCUUAAAAGGUGCAAUUGCAUCACUACCAGAUGGACCUGCGUUG
rnacentral:rRNA from 1 species